AUGGACGCGGCUCCAGUGGGGCCACCCGCCUCCAUGGACGUGGACAAGCUCACCUUCGAGAUCUUCUCCAUCCUCGAGAGCAAGUUCCUGUUCGGCUAUGACGACCCCAAGCUUCUCUUCGCCGGUGGCUCGCCUCUUACACCGGCGUCUGGGGCGGUGGUCGGGAAGGUGACCCCCCCGCGGGCGCAGGCCGGGAAGGUGUGCAUCCUGUCGAUCGACGGCGGUGGGCGCGCCGCCGACGGGCUGCUCGCCGGCGCGGCGCUGGUGAGGCUGGAGGCGUCGCUGAGGCGGCGGACUGGGGACCCCAAGGCGCGUCUGGCGGACUUCUUCGACGUGGCCGCGGGCUCUGGCUCCGGCGGCGUGCUGGCCGCCAUGCUGGUGGCGCGCGGCAAGGACGACGCGCGGCCGCUCUACUCCGCCGAGGAAGCGCUCGCGUUCCUCGCGCGUAGCCUCCGCCGCGGCUGGUCUUCCUCGUUGGGGAGCCUCCGGGCGCUGCUCCGGCGCCCGGCCGGCGGAGACGCGUUCCGCAAGGUGUUCGGCGAGCUCACGCUCCGGGACACGGAGCGGCCGGUGCUCGUCCCGUGCUACGACCUGGCCACGGGGGCCCCAUUCCUCUUCUCCCGAGCCGACGCCGUCGAGACGCCGGCCUACGACUUCCGCCUGCGUAACGUGUGCGCCGCCACGUGCGCCGGGUCGGGCCGCUCGUCAUCGGCGGUGGAGGUGCGGUCGUGCGACGGGUCGACCCGCAUCGUGGCCGUGGGCGGCGGCGUGGCGCUCGGCAACCCUACGGCGGCGGCCAUCACGCACGUGCUCAACAACAAGCGCGAGUUCCCGCUGGCCUCCGGCGUGGAGGACCUGCUGGUCAUCUCCAUCGGCUGCGGCGAGGGCGCCUCCACUUCCCAGAUCGUCAGGAUCGCCGCCGAGGGCGUGUCCGACAUGGUGGAUCAAGCAGUGGCCAUGGCGUUCGGACAUAACAGGACAAGCAACUACACCCGCAUCCAGGCGAUCGGGUCGCCGCGGGGGAGCCGAUGCGCGGUGGCGGCGGAGGAGAUGCUGUCGCAGAAGAACGUGGAGUCGGUGCUGUUCCGCGGGAAGAAGCUGGCGGAGCAGACCAACGCCGAGAAGCUGGAGUUGUUCGCGCACGAGCUCGUCAAGGAGCGCAACCGCCGCGGGGCCAAGUGA
rnacentral:rRNA from 1 species